rnacentral:rRNA from 1 species
CCCUUAGAUGUUCUGGGCCGCACGCGCGCUACACUGACGAAUGCAACGAGCUUAUAACCUUGGCCGAAAGGUCUGGGUAAUCUCCAAAUUUCGUCGUGAUGGGGAUAGAUUAUUGCAAUUAUUAAUCUUCAACGAGGAAUGCCUAGUAAGCGCAAGUCAUCAGCUUGCGUUGAUUACGUCCCUGCCCUUUGUACACACCGCCCGUCGCUCCUACCGAUUGAAUGGUCCGGUGAAGCGUUCGGACCGUGGCCUUUGGACGGUUCGCCGUCUGUUGGCUGCGGGAAGUUCGUUAAACCUUAUCAUUUAGGGGAAGGAGAANUCGUAACA